AUAUUUCACACACCGGGGGGAUGAGAAGCCCCGACCGGGGUUCGACAACUGGCGACAGCCAGUUGGACAGACCGUGAACGCAGUGAGCGGGCUGCCCAACUGGCUGUCGCCAGUUGGACAGACCGUGAACGCAGUGAGCGGGCUGCCCGCAGGGCGAGCGAAGCGAGUCAAUCCCCCCUCACCGCCA
rnacentral:sRNA from 1 species